AAGACAUGACAACCGGUUAGACAGUUAUCAGGUCAUUUAAUGGGUGUUAUCAGUGGUAAUAAGCCUCAUAGAUGUGGGUCAGUAGGGGCCUGCUACACGCACUAGUGGGUUUCAUCAUCGAUUCACAUGGGUGAUCGCCGAAAGAAGGAUUAUAAGAAGACGACAGCGACCGUAGUAAUUAUCACAGCUUUCACACAGA